rnacentral:lncRNA from 1 species
UGUGUUGGUAGUUUUUCUCCCCAGCGACUCCCCAGGCGGAUCGGGUUCAGUGGAGGUCGUCCCCAGUGAGGAUUAUUCUUUCCCCAGCAGCAGUGCUAUUCCCUAGCAUGAUUUAAAGGUUGGUGUUUUCCCAAUAAGUGACUCCCCAGUUGAGUUUGUUUCUCUGCCAUUCCGAGAAUGUCAGAUCAGUAAGUAUCCGCAGCAGAAUUGUUGUGUGUCCCCACAGAGUUGGAAGAUCGAAUCUGAAUUGUGCGCUCAGCAAAGUGAUCA